UGUUGAGUUUUUAAAAUGUAAUCUGCUUCCUUACAACCGCUAGGGCGGUUGUUCAGUGUUGGCGCACAACUAAUACAAGGCAAUGCACAACAAGGGGGAGGACUAUGAUCUCCCAGGUGAAGGGGAUCAGGAGGGGUCUACGUUCUAUGUCACGUGUGGUUGUCUUGUUAAUCUGUGUUUAAUGGUCAUGUUUAUAUCUUGGUCCUCAGAUGGAGCUACUGGGGGAUCACAAAAACAGAGCGGGGAAGGCCUAUGAUAAAAUUAAGGAAGGAG